CAAUUCAAUAACAUACACAUGCGAGACCCAUAUACAAAUACGUGUGUCUCUCUUGAAACCGAGAACCAUUAUUAUAGUUCUACACCCAAUAACAUGCACCAAGAUCAAGGGACUAUACAAGUAAAUCAAAUAAAUGUAGUGGGUUUUAGUUAGACUGAUAUAAAUCCCAUUCUCAAUUAUCGAUCGAAGUAUAGAGAUCUAAAAAGAGCAAGAGAGAGAAAAAGAGAGAGAGAGAGUUUACCUGUUUGCUUCUGUCGAAGAUUGAGAGCCAUAGAAACCUGAAAUUAGAGACCUUCCAGGCAAAACCAGAGUGAUUUAAACGAAAAAGAAAAACAGGAAAGGAGAAAGGAGCAAAUGUUUUCCCUCCGAGUUUCAGUUUCUACACUAAGAUUUCCAGAGUUUUCCUGUGCUGCCGUUUGCCGUACUUCAGAUGAGAAAGAAACCAAUCGGGAAAGGUUCUUUUUUUUGUUUGUUUUGUUUUGUGUUCUAAGUCUAUGUUCGAGCAAAUGUUUAUUUUUUCAAUGUUUUCACAAAGUCUAAAAAUAUAAGUGUAUUUAUUAAAUUUAAAUCUUUGUUAAGAAGUUAAUUAGAAAAUAAAAUUUAAAGUAUUUUAUUCUUAAAUUUUUAUGUGAG
rnacentral:lncRNA from 1 species